CCUACGGGUGGCAGCAGUGAGGAAUAUUGGUCAAUGGACGAGAGUCUGAACCAGCCAAGUAGCGUGAAGGAUGACUGCCCUAUGGGUUGUAAACUUCUUUUAUAUGGGAAUAAAAUGUUCCACGUGUGGGAUUUUGUAUGUACCAUAUGAAUAAGGAUCGGCUAACUCCGUGCCAGCAGCCGCGGUAAUACGGAGGAUCCGAGCGUUAUCCGGAUUUAUUGGGUGUAAAGGGAGCGUAGGUGGAUUGUUAAGUCAGUUGUGAAAGUUUGAGGCUCAACCGUAAAAUUGCAGUUGAAACUGGCAGUCUUGAGUACAGUAGAGAUGGGCGGAAUUCGUGGUGUAGCGGUGAAAUGCUUAGAUAUCACGAAGAACUCCGAUUGCGAAGGCAGUUCACUGGACUGCAACUGACACUGAGGCUCGAAAGUGUGGGUAUCAAACAGGAUUAGAUACCCCUGUAGUC
rnacentral:rRNA from 1 species